GAUCCUGGCUCAGGACUAACGCUGGCGGCGCGCCUAACACAUGCAAGUCGAACGAGAGAGAAGGAGCUUGCUUCUUCGAUCGAGUGGCGAACGGGUGAGUAACGCGUGAGGAACCUGCCUCAAAGAGGGGGACAACAGUUGGAAACGACUGCUAAUACCGCAUAAGCCCACGGGUCGGCAUCGACCAGAGGGAAAAGGGAGCAAUCCGCUUUGAGAUGGCCUCGCGUCCGAUUAGCUAGUUGGUG
rnacentral:rRNA from 1 species